rnacentral:rRNA from 1 species
UACAGAGGAUGCGAGCGUUAUCCGGAUUUAUUGGGUUUAAAGGGUGCGUAGGCGGACGCUUAAGUCAGCGGUAAAAUUGCGGGGCUCAACCUCGUCGAGCCGUUGAAACUGGUUUUCUUGAGUGGGCGAGAGGUAUGCGGAAUGCGUGGUGUAGCGGUGAAAUGCAUAGAUAUCACGCAGAACCCCGAUUGCGAAGGCAGCAUACCGGCGCCCAACUGACGCUGAGGCACGAAAGCGUGGGUAUCGAACAGG